rnacentral:tRNA from 1 species
UAAGAAGUAGUAUAAAGGAAGUACAAAGGGUUUUGAUCUCUUAGGUGUAGGUUCGAUUCCUAUUUUUUUUAG